CUCUCCAUGGAAGGUUGCUCUCUAACAGGUUUAACUUUUUUCACCUAGAAGGAAUGACAUAAUUAAACAUAAAUGGGUAUUGCUGGAUGAUAUUGAAUUCAAAAGAAUCACACCUUUUGAAUGAUAGAAUUUGUCCCAUAUAUUUGCAAGUCUAGAUUUCCAUAAUCCAUCCUAGUUAUUUAUUCUCAUUUCUACCCUUCCAUGCUAAC
rnacentral:lncRNA from 1 species